GACAGUGUGAUGUAGUGGUUUGAGCGUUGGACUAAGACUCUGGAGAUCGGGGUUGGAAUCCCUGCUCGGCCA